UACGUAGGUGGCAAGCGUUGUCCGGAUUUACUGGGUGUAAAGGGCGCGUAGGCGGGGCGUCAAGUCAGAUGUGAAAUGCAGGGGCUCAACUCCUGAACUGCAUUUGAAACUGUCGCUCUUGAGUAUCGGAGAGGCAAGCGGAAUUCCUAGUGUAGCGGUGAAAUGCGUAGAUAUUAGGAGGAACACCAGUGGCGAAGGCGGCUUGCUGGACGACAACUGACGCUGAGGCGCGAAAGCGUGGGGAG
rnacentral:rRNA from 1 species